rnacentral:rRNA from 1 species
AGCGAACGCUGGCGGCAGGCUUAACACAUGCAAGUCGAACGGGCAUAGCAAUAUGUCAGUGGCAGACGGGUGAGUAACGCGUGGGAACGUACCUUUUGGUUCGGAACAACACAGGGAAACUUGUGCUAAUACCGGAUAAGCCCUUACGGGGAAAGAUUUAUCGCCGGAAGAUCGGCCCGCGUCUGAUUAGCUAGUUGGUAGGGUAAUGGGCUACCAAGGCGACGAUCAGUAGCUGGUCUGAGAGGAUGAUCAGCCACAUUGGGACUGAGACACGGCCCAAAGUCCUACGGGAGGCAGCAGUGGGGAAUAUUGGGCAAUGGGCGAAAGCCUGAUCCAGCCAUGCCGCGUGAGUGAUGAAGGCCCUAGGGUUGUAAAGCUCUUUUGGGCGGGAAGAUAAUGACGGUACCGCAAGAAUAAGCCCCGGCUAACUUCGUG